AUAUUUAAUCAAGAUCUAACUUUAUAGAUAGAGCCUUAGCCAAAUGUGAAAAUAACGAAAAUAAUAAGUUCUAACACUGCAGUUUUUAUAGAUUUCAAACGUCCACCAUUUUCCAUUUCAAUUUUAAAUCCCGUUCUAAAUUUGAAUGUUUGAAAUCGUUAUUAGUAAUUCGGGGCGCAUUAGUGGUAACUAUGGCUAGUAAUAGCCGUAUUUUGUCUGUCUGUCCGCGAAAGAUGCGUCCCGUAACGGAAACACGAAAUUUUGUAAAUUACGCGCCGAUACCAAAUGCGAUAUAUUUUUACCGACUUUGUUUUGACCGCUCGCGCGUGGAAUACCAUUCACAACGCCUGAUUCUUUAAAAAAAAAACCAAGAUUUUCGCGACCAGAAAGAAUCCAAGAUCUUCGCGGAACGAAGGCCAUUUUGAUAAUGGUCGUGUUUGUGGGCAGUGUGUGAGAUCACCUGUGAUCAAACCAUGCACCAUCAGCAUUUUCGAAAAAUCUUUAAAGAGAGAAAUUUUUAAGGAUUUUAUUAGUAACUUAACUGAGUAAUAAUUCAUUGAAAUUGAACUUGUUCAGAAGUUAUUAUAUAUAUUCGAAUCAUGAAGUUCAUACAUAGCAAUCCUGCAUCCUGGAAUUUUCAGAAUUUUUCAGAUCAAGAUCAGUUAUAAAAAAAUCCAGUUAAAGUUUUAACUAUUGUUUUAGAAUAUAUACUAUAUGUAAAAAAAAAUAUUUUUUAUAUAUUAAGUUGUAUUUUACGUUAAUUACAAUAAUAAUUGAGAAUUAGGAUA